GUCAAUAAUGCACUCCGCAUCCAAGACGGUGCUUUUUAACAGUUGGGAGAAAGAGGUCCCAGGAGAAACUACUUCCAGAGGCUGUUGUCACAGGUGUCCAGAGCGCAAGUUGGACAGACAAAUCUGUCAGGCAACAGAGAGCUGAUCACCAAAAUACUCUGCAGUGCUAUCAGCCCCAAGCACGCCUCAGCCUAGUUCUGCAACUCAGAUCCCACCAGUAGCAGCCUCUGGAAGUAGAGAUAUGUC